CACGCAGGCGGUCUGUCAAGUCGGAUGUGAAAUCCCCGGGCUCAACCUGGGAACUGCAUUCGAAACUGGCAGGCUAGAGUCUUGUAGAGGGGGGUAGAAUUCCAGGUGUAGCGGUGAAAUGCGUAGAGAUCUGGAGGAAUACCGGUGGCGAAGGCGGCCCCCUGGACAAAGACUGACGCUCAGGUGCGAAAGCGUGGGGAGCAAACAG
rnacentral:rRNA from 1 species